rnacentral:rRNA from 1 species
GACAACCUGGUUGAUCCUGCCAGUAGUCAUAUGCUUGUCUCAAAGAUUAAGCCAUGCAUGUCUCAGUACAAGCCAAAUUAAGGUGAAACCGCGAAAGGCUCAUUAAAUCAGUUAUGGUUCCUUAGAUCGUACCAACAUUUACUUGGAUAACUGUGGUAAUUCUAGAGCUAAUACAUGCAAACAGAGCUUCGACCGGAGACGGAAGAGGCGCUUUUAUUAGAUCAAAACCAAUCGGCGGCGAGUUCGCUUGCGGGCUCGUCGUCGUUUUCGCUGACGAAUCUGAAUAACUUUCUGCUGAUCGCACGGUCUCGCACCGGCGACGCAUCUUUCAAAUGUCUGCCUUAUCAACUGUCGAUGGUAGGUUCUGUGCCUACCAUGGUUGUAACGGGUAACGGGGAAUCAGGGUUCGAUUCCGGAGAGGGAGCCUGAGAAACGGCUACCACAUCCAAGGAAGGCAGCAGGCGCGCAAAUUACCCACUCCCGGCACGGGGAGGUAGUGACGAAAAAUAACGAUACGGGACUCAUCCGAGGCCCCGUAAUCGGAAUGAGAACAAUUUAAAUCCUUUAACGAGGAUCAAUUGGAGGGCAAGUCUGGUGCCAGCAGCCGCGGUAAUUCCAGCUCCAAUAGCGUAUAUUAAAGUUGUUGCGGUUAAAAAGCUCGUAGUCGAAUCUGUGUCUCGCGCCGCCGGUUCGUCGCUCGCGGCGUUUAACUGGCGUGUCCGCGGGACGUCCUGCCGGUGGGCUUAGCCCUUUCACGAGGGCGGCCCAAUUUUAAUCCCGCCGCGGUGCUCUUCACCGAGUGUCGAGGCGGGCCGGCACGUUUACUUUGAACAAAUUAGAGUGCUUAAAGCAGGCUAAAACUUCGCCUGAAUACUUCGUGCAUGGAAUAAUGGAAUAGGACCUCGGUUCUAUUUUGUUGGUUUUCGGAACCCCGAGGUAAUGAUUAAUAGGAACGGAUGGGGGCAUUCGUAUUGCGACGUUAGAGGUGAAAUUCUUGGAUCGUCGCAAGACGGACAGAAGCGAAAGCAUUUGCCAAAAACGUUUUCAUUGAUCAAGAACGAAAGUUAGAGGUUCGAAGGCGAUCAGAUACCGCCCUAGUUCUAACCAUAAACGAUGCCAGCUAGCGAUCCGCCGACGUUCCUCCNAUGACUCGGCGGGCAGCUUCCGGGAAACCAAAGCUUUUGGGUUCCGGGGGAAGUAUGGUUGCAAAGCUGAAACUUAAAGGAAUUGACGGAAGGGCACCACCAGGAGUGGAGCCUGCGGCUUAAUUUGACUCAACACGGGAAACCUCACCAGGCCCGGACACCGGAAGGAUUGACAGAUUGAGAGCUCUUUCUUGAUUCGGUGGGUGGUGGUGCAUGGCCGUUCUUAGUUGGUGGAGCGAUUUGUCUGGUUAAUUCCGAUAACGAACGAGACUCA